UCUAGGAUUCAGGAGAGGAGAGGAUGAUCCCAGGAAUGAACCUUCUCGUACAGCCCCACUUAUGCCCAGUUGCUCAGGAACCAUUUGAAGUGACAACGGACCUCCUCAGAGUCUGAAACGAUGCUGUGAAUUGAGAUGGGAGCACAGGAAACGUUUAAUCUCGAAUGUUUUUGCAUUGACAACAGAUGGAGAUGCAGCCAUUUUCUUCAUUUUGCUUUUAGAGUUAGAUGAUGCUGGGAGGGGGG